rnacentral:rRNA from 1 species
AAUGAACGCUGGCGGCAGGCCUAACACAUGCAAGUCGAACGGAUCCUUCGGGAUUAGUGGCGGACGGGUGAGUAACGCGUGGGAACAUACCCUUUGGUACGGAAUAGCCUCGGGAAACUGGGAGUAAUACCGUGUGGUCGAGAGACGAAAGAUUUAUCGCCAAAGGAUUGGCCCGCGUUGGACUAGGUAGUUGGUGGGGUAAUGGCCUACCAAGCCGACGAUCCAUAGCUGGUUUGAGAGGAUGAUCAGCCACACUGGGACUGAGACGCGGCCCAGACUCCUACGGGAGGCAGCAGUGGGGAAUCUUAGACAAUGGGGGAAACCCUGAUCUAGCCAUGCCGCGUGAUCGAUGAAGGCCUUAGGGUUGUAAAGAUCUUUCAGGUGGGAAGAUAAUGACUGUACCACCUGAAGAAGCCCCGGCUAACUCCGUGCCAGCCGCCGCCGUAAAAC